rnacentral:tRNA from 1 species
AGUUCAAUGGUAGAACGGCAGCUUCCCAAGCUUUAGACGCGAGUUCGAUUCUCGUC